rnacentral:rRNA from 1 species
GACAGAGGGUGCAAACGUUGCUCGGAAUUACUGGGCGUAAAGCGCGUGUAGGCGGAUAUGCAAGUCGGAUGUGAAAUCCCUGGGCUCAACCCAGGAACUGCACUCGAAACUGCAUGUCUUGAGUAUCGGAGAGGAAAGCGGAAUUCCUGGUGUAGAGGUGAAAUUCGUAGAUAUCAGGAGGAACACCGGUGGCGAAGGCGGCUUUCUGGACGAUAACUGACGCUGAGACGCGAAAGCGUGGGGAGCAAACAGG